rnacentral:lncRNA from 1 species
CAGCCACGCGCGCCCCAGCCCAGCGAGGCCCCGGGCGCCCCGCCGCCACCACGCCAUGCUCCACCUGAGCGACUUCUCCGGCCCCGACGCGCUCCUCUCCAAGCCCACCGAAGGCUGCGCCCACACCAGCCCCGAGCUGCCCCGGCUGCCUGCUAGGGACGCUCCCUCGGCCGCCGCGUAUCCUGGAGGUAAGGAGCGGGGCUAGGAGCUCGAAGAAGCCGAAUGCGACGAGGGGUGAUGGGAGAGGCGUGCGGGGGUGGGGUGGGGGUCCCCAAGCGCGCGGUACCAUUCCCACUAAGGCCACAGGCGUCUGUGUGGGAGCCCGUGCGUAUGCGCGCCCUGGGGCGUCCGUGGGGGUCCCUGCGCUGCAGGAUCCGAAGUGCACGAGGCGCUCUGCGGGUGGCUUGCGCCAGGAGGGCUCGGGUGGAGGGACUCGCGGCUGCAGGCUCCGAGGCACGCCCUUGGAUGUGUGCGGGGCUGAUGCGUGGUCCCUCCUUUGGCAGGCGACUUCUUGAGCUGGGCUCUGAGCACCUGCGGCGCCGGGGGGGACUUAACAGACUCCUGCUUCCUGGAGGGCCCUGCACCCACGCCCCCUUCGGGCCUCAGCUACAGCGGCAGCUUCUUCAUCCAGGCGGUUCCCGAACACCCGCACGACCCGGAGGCCCUCUUCAACCUCAUGUCUGGCAUCUUGGGCUUGGCACCCUUCCCUAGCCCCGAGGCGGCAGCGUCUCGGUCCCCCCUGGAUGUCCCUUUCCCCGCGGGCCCCGAUGCCUUGUUGCCGGACCUUUACUCCCCGGAUCUGAGUUCGGCCGCCUUCCCGGAGGCGUUUUGGGAGGCCGCGCCUUCGGCGGGCGCUCCCUCGCAGUGCCUGUUCGAGCCCCAGCUCUCCCCGCCCGACGUCAAGCCCGGGCUGAGGGCGCCUCCCGCUUCGCCAGCGCUGGACGCUGCUGCUUCGGCCUUCAAAGGGCCCUACGCCCCCUGGGAGCUGCUGUCGGCCGGGGCUCCGGGGAACUGUGGGUCGCAGGGAAGCUUCCAGACCACCCCGGAGGCACGCUUUUCCGCCGUGGGGACCAAGGUCGAGGACCUGCUGUCCAUCAGCUGCCCCGCCGAGCUGCCCGGUCCGGCUAGCAGACUCUACCCGCCAGGGGCCUACGAUGCCUUCUCGCUGGCCCCAGGUGACUUAGGGGAGGGGACCGAGGGCCUCCCGGCGCUGCUGACCCCUCCGGGCGGGGAGGGAGGGAGCGGCGGCGAAGGCGGAGAGUUCCUGGCCGUCCCUCAAGCGCAGCUGUCCCCGCUGGGCCUGCGCGGCGCCGCCACGGCAGACUUCUCCAAAGCCCUGGUGGCCGACCUCCCGGGGGGCAGCGGAGUGGCGGCGCCUUCAUCCCCCGCCACCUCCUUCCCCGCGGCCAAAGCCCGGCGCAAGGGACGCCGGGGCGGCAAGUGCAGCGCGCGCUGCUUCUGCCCGCGGCCGCACGUCAAGGCCUUCGCCUGCCCCGUGGAGAGCUGCGUGCGGAGCUUCGCGCGCUCCGACGAGCUCAACCGCCACCUGCGCAUCCACACGGGCCACAAGCCCUUCCAGUGCCGCAUCUGCCUGCGCAACUUCAGCCGCAGCGACCACCUCACCACGCACGUGCGCACCCACACCGGCGAGAAGCCCUUCGCCUGCGACGUGUGCGGCCGCCGCUUCGCGCGCAGCGACGAGAAGAAGCGACACAGCAAGGUGCACCUCAAGCAGAAGGCGCGCGCCGAGGAGCGCCUCAAGGGCCUGGGCUUCUACUCGCUGGGCCUCUCUUUCGCCGCGCUGUAGCCGGAGCUGGCUCCGUAGGUCGGCGCCGCCGGCGCUCGGCGCACGCGACACGGUCCUGCCGCUCCCUCGUCCCCGCUGCCUUCCCUGCCUCUUCCACGCACGUCCGGGGCCACCCGCAGCCCAGCUCCAGUUCCCCCGAAGCGCCCGCCGCUCACGCCCUUCAGCACGGGCUCCGCGGACAGCGCCCGCUGUUUUCGGAGCC